rnacentral:rRNA from 1 species
GCAUGUCGAGCGCUCUUCAGCUAUGUAGAGAGCGCGGCGAACGGCUCAAUAACACGUAGUUAACCUACCCUCGGGAUGGGAAUAACCCCGGGAAACUGGGAUUAAUGCCCACUAGAUGAUUAUACCUGGAAUGGCUUAUCAUCGAAAGAGUCUGGAAACAUGCUUCCAGCGUCGCCCGAGGAUGGGACCGCGUCCGAUCAGGUAGUUGGUGGGGUAAUGGCCUACCAAGCCUAUAACCGGUACGGGCCCUGAGAGGGGGAGCCCGGAGAUGGAAACUGAGAAAAGGUUCCAGGCCCUACGGGGUGCAGCAGGCGCGAAACCUCCACAAUGCGCGAAAGCGUGAUGGGGUUAUCCCGAGUGCCGUCCGAUGAGGAUGGCUUUUAAUCGAUGUAAGGAUUCGAUAGAAUAAAGGGGGGGCAAGACUGGUGUCAGCCGCCGCGGUAAUACCAGCCCCCUGAGUGGUAAGGACGAUUAUUUGGCCUAAAGCGUUCGUAGCCGGCUUAUCAAGUCUUUUGUUAAAUCCAACGAUUCAAUCGUUGGGCCGCAAAAGAUACUGUUAUGCUAGAGGACGGGAGAGGUCGACGGUAGUCCAGGGGUAGGGGUGAAAUCCUAUAAUCCUUGGAGGACCACCAGUGGCGAAGGCGGUCGACUAGAACGUGCCUGACGGUGAGGGACGAAAGCUGGGGGAGCGAACCGGAUUAGAUACCCGGGUAGUCCCAGCUGUAAACGAUGCGGGCUAGGUGUU